AGGGAGGCCGGGCCGAGGUCGCGCCCCAGGCCCAGGCCCGCCCUCACUUGGAGAAUUGCGCCUGCACGGCGGCCAGGCCCAGGCUGGCCGGGACCAGGUGCGGGAACUUGCACACGGCGCAGGUGCAGAGGCCGGGGCCGCCUGCGCCGCCGCCGGGGAGAGCGAACUGGCCGCACGGCGGCUCGUCCAGCGCCAGCGACAGAUGAAGAGAAAACUGAGCCAUAGGAUGAAGAGAAAACUGAAGCACAAGAUGACUGCAUGCUUUUGGCCAUAGACACAGGGACGAAAAGUCGCACUCACUUGACACUCUCUGGGAUAUAAGAAGUGCUACCAUUUCUUGAAAGGAGAUUAGGAAGCAGCCCUGGGAAACCCUGGUACCUCUGUGGAAAUCGGCACUCUCCAUUUCCCUGCUGAACUGUCAGUGUUGCCGUGCUGUUGGUGGUCUUGGACCACCGAGAUCAUAUUAAUACCAACAACAAGCCAGCAACUCAGAGGGCUGCCAUUUGCUUCUCCAAACCCAUUCUUCACUUACCUCUGCUCUGUUCUGUGUCCUUUAUCUGCAUGGGUUAUAGCAACAGGUUCCCUACUCUCUGGCUCCUGGCUAUGUCUGACCAAUGGCAGAAUGACCAAUGAUUUAGAGAAUCAACCUGGGACAGGGCCAUAUAAGACUAUAAAACAGGCU
rnacentral:lncRNA from 10 species